rnacentral:tRNA from 1 species
GGAGGGUUGGCAGAGUGGUCUAAUGCGCCGCACUCGAAAUGCGGUUAGGGAGAAAUCUCUUCAUAGGUUCAAAUCCUAUACCCUCCG